CUCUUGUCCUCAAGCAGUCCUCCCUUCUCAGCCUCUAAAAGUGCUGGGAUUACAGGGAUGAGCCAACCGGUCCAGCCCUGGUGAACUUACUGAUAGAUCAGUUCCUUGGGAAAUUCCUUUUAGAGUAGUCAGGGCACUGGAUGGCCUAAAACUCUUUGACUUGUAGGUUGGGAAUUGGUUGGUCAUGUUUAGUGUGCAUGUUGCUAGGCUGGUUACCUCCCUGUAUGAGACUCAGCCAAAGAGACACCAUACCUCAUGGUGAUUGUAGCCCAGCUCCUGAAGCUUCUAGACCUUUCCCCCAUGGAUCUCAUUAGUUGUUGUAUGAAAUUAGAGCAUUUCUUCAGAUGAAAAAAUUGGGUCACACGGUGGCUCAAACCUGUAAUCCCAGCACUUUUGGAGGCUGAGGCAGGUAGAUCACGAGGUCAGGAGUUCCAGACCAGCCUGACCAACAUGGUGAAACCCCGUCUCUACUAAAAAUACAAAAAUUGUAUGGUGGCCACCUUAGUUGGGAACUAUGGCUAAACAUUGUCCUGAUUUGAUCUUUUGCCGUAAGCAGGCUGGUGUUGCUAUCAGAAGACUGUGUGAAAAAUGUGAUGGCAAGUGUGUGAUUUGUGACUCCUAUGUGCGUCCCUGCACUCUGGUGCGCCUAUGUGAUGAGUGUAACUAUGGAUCUUACCAGGGGCGUUGUAUGAUCUGUGGAGGCCCUGGGGUCUCUGAUGCCUAUUAUUGUAAGGAGUGCACCAUCCAGGAGAAGAAUAGGGAUGGCUGCCCAAAGAUUGUCUAUUUGGGGAGCUCUAAGACCUCUUCUAUGAACACAAAAAAUAUGGCUUCAAGAACAGGGUGAUUGGUGGGUGGCCUCCUCCUCCCCGCCACCCCACAUCAAGCUGCUGCAGCUGCCAGAAAAGAUGCCUACUAUUACCAGCAGAAAGGGAGCGGAGGCCAGAGCAUCACCAGCAGUGCCUGCUGGUGUACUGGCGGCUUGCCACCCCCUCCUCUCCCUUCACCCAGACAUGUAGUAGGGAUGGAAAAGGAUUCUUCACAGAGCACUUUGGCACAACCUGUAUCAGAGAAAAAUUGAUAGAUUAAUUAAUGGUUUUUCCUGAAUUCAAGAAGCAAAGAUCUGUUCUCCAUAUUGAUAUGUUCUCCCUCAACCAAGAUCUUCUAAAAAGAAAUAAUAUUUUAGCCUUCUGCUUGGGUAGUUGACUGUGAAACUACGCCCAGUGAAAAACAUGUUCUUGCAGCAACUCUGGUGGCAGCUGUCCUUGAGGAACCUUCGGUGUGUGGUGGGAAGCUAUCAGAACGAGAAAUGUAGGCAUUUACUGUUUUUUUUU